rnacentral:rRNA from 2 species
GGACUACUGGGGUAUCUAAUCCUGUUCGCUCCCCACGCUUUCGUGCCUCAGCGUCAGUACCAGCUUAGCGCUCUGCCUUCGCAAUUGGUGUUCUGAGUAAUAUCUACGCAUUUCACCGCUACACUACUCAUUCCAAGCGCCUCAACUGUACUCUAGGCGAGUAGUAUCAAAGGCACUAUUUAGGUUAAGCCCAAAUAUUUCACCCCUGACUUACUCAUCCGCCUGCGCACCCUUUAAACCCAGUAAAUCCGGAUAACGCUUGCACCCUACGUAUUACCGCGGCGGCUGGCAC